AGCUAUUGUUAGUGUUAGUGUAUUUUUUGUGUGGCCCAAGACAAUCUUCUUCCAGUGUGGCCCAGGGAAGCCAAAAAAUUGGACACACUUGAUGUAAACAUUUCAAGAAAAUUCAGACUAUAUGAUCACUCAAGACAGCCGAUUCACCAGCCUUCUGAAGGGAAGACUAAGCAUAUUCCUAUAUUGAAGAAGGAAAGAUAUCCAUGAUGGUGAUGCCACUAAAUAGAAGCAUCUUGGAUCUUACUAUUUGGAGUAGAACCACACAAGGAGAAGCCAUCCAACCUACAUAAGACUAUGACGCUACCAUUGAAAUGGAAAAUUUGCUGGAGAAAGUUGAUUAAGUAACAUUUCACGGAAGAGGAGAAUUGUAAUAACCAUUUGAUAGAAGAGAGAUGUCCUUGAACUCAAUCUAUCCUGAAGAUGCUCCUGAGAGGGCAAACAAAUAACAUCUCUCUGGAAGGAUGCCUGCCUUUGUCAAAGCUUUCAAAUCUGUAUGACUUCUAUCUUUCCUUGGCUUCCCUUACUCAAUUAGUCAAGGAUCCUUGUGGAUGUUUAACAUAAAAUGUCACUCACAUCUGCCCUCCUCCUCAACUUUCCAUUCCAUCCUCUCCACAGAUGCCUGAUGCAUUUUCUUCUGACUCAGUCUUCUGUUUUUCAUGGAGAACACAGAGCAAGACAGAAGCUCCCAACUGUGGCAUCCAAGAGCAACUUGAGCUGCUCCCUUACUUAUCUCUGGUAAUGAUUUGAAUCCUUUGCUUUUGCCAGACUGACUCAUCUAGUCAUUGCUCCCCAAAUAUUCAUUUCCCCAUUAUUUCUUGUGGCCUAAGCACCAAAUUUUGUUCUUUCAAAAUCUACUCUUCCUUCAGGUCUGGCUCAAACUCUUUGUGAUGACUGUUCUACCAUAUGGCUUAAUAGCUAAGUACACAUGCAUUGACCUCAAGCCUUCCCACAGCUCAGGUUCCUGAGGCACAGACUCUGGAUGGAAAUUAGCACAUAAUAGGUUUAUUAGAAAGUGCUCUUGGAAUUAACAUCUUUGGAGGAAGAAAAGAAGCAAUAUUGUCCAGAGAGGGAAGUUGAACUGCAAUGAAGUUGCCACAGAGGCUUCAAUGAAUCCUUCUGGGUGUAGAGCUGGGAUGACCUUUCCAGAGUUUUCCAAUUAAGGGAAUUGUAUCUCACCUCAAUCUCUAGUCUGAACCUUGGGUGAGGCAGCUUCUUUCAGCCAAUGGCAAUUCCUGGAGGCACCAGGAGUUAUGAGCAGUCAACACUCUUUCUUUGCUCCUGAGAAAAUUGAGUGCCCUCUUUGGUCCUGAAAGCAGCUCUGGGCAGCACUCCACAGCAUCCACUACAGACUUAGUGAGUUCACCCUGGCUCUCCCACUUACAGAUUGCAGCUUUCAGUUGCGACCUUAGGAAUGAGCUCACAAUUGGAAGCAAAUCUGUCUUCUGUUUCUACUGUUAAAGAAUUACCUACCCACUGACAAAAACACAUAGGAUUAACAAUGGCUUUGUCCCAGAUAGAUGCUUUUUGGAAUUGUACAAACUGUAUUUAUGAUGCUUGUACAUUUUGGUCCAACUUUUAAAUAUUUCAAUAAGACUGAUUGAAUUCUUAGUAAAUAGAAUACUUCCUCUGUUCAGUUUUGCUCUGUUGAAUGCUGGAAGUUUGGUGAGUCUGACCCACUACACGUAUCUCAGAUGAUUUAAAAACAAAGGCAGGCCAUUUGGUUUUGAUGCUGUGUCUGUUUUGGGCAGUGUCUCAGAUUGAAAUCCUGUGAAUAAAAAGUGGUUCUGAAAAGUUAUUCUUAGCCACUUAGGUAUAGGCUCUUAGUCUUGAGAAAUGGGUAAGGCUUCUGAAUGUCUGAUUUAGUCAUACAAAUCAUCAUUUGGCAUAUCUCUUUUGUGGAUUUUUAUUGGUAUUGAUUCAAAAACAUUUUCAAAAUUACUAAAGAGAGUACUAGUGCAUUUGUACUUCAUUGGUUGGAUCCUUGAACAGACUGCAAGUUAUUUACAUUGGAGUUGACAUUUCCCAGAUUCUCUGGAAGCGAUAAAGAGGGUAGAAGGAACUAACAUGUAUUUAUUCAUUUGUUUUACCAACAAACUUUUAGUUGGUAAAACACUAACACAACAAACCUUUAGUCAUUCAAACACUGAGCUGCAUGUUUUACACAGAACAACUACCUUACUCCCCUUAACAAUUCUAUAAAACCCAUUUUAUAGAUAGAGACUCAGAGAGGUUAAGUAACUUGUAAAUGAAGGAACUAGUAAUUGGAGAACUUGAAAUUUAAAUUUAGAUCUACUGGCCUGAAUGGGUGGCUCAUGCCUGUAAUCCC
rnacentral:lncRNA from 1 species